rnacentral:tmRNA from 1 species
GGGGCUGACCGGUUUUGACAGCGGGCAGGGUCUUGAUGUAAGCAUGCAGAGCAUUGUGUGGGCGCUCUUUAAUAUGAACACUCGAAAAUUAAUUGGCAACAAUAGCCUUAGACUCGCUGCGUAAGUUUUACAGAGUAAAACUCCUUAAUCGGAUGACUCAAGGAUAGUCGUUCGACGAGUAUUCCGCCGGAAACCCCGCCUUGUGGUGUCUGGUUUACGGAAUAUCAUCAAACAGGGCUGGCCAUGGCGACGUCUCUAAGCCGUGGCGAGAUAUCAGAGACUAAGGCGAAAGGUGGUGCGUCUUUGAC